UACAGGCUUAACACAUGCAAGUCGAGGGGCAGCAUGGUCUUAGCUUGCUAAGGCCGAUGGCGACCGGCGCACGGGUGAGUAACACGUAUCCAACCUGCCGUCUACUCUUGGACAGCCUUCUGAAAGGAAGAUUAAUACAGGAUGGCAUCAUGAGUCCGCAUGUUCACAUGAUUAAAGGUAUUCCGGUAGACGAUGGGGAUGCGUUCCAUUAGAUAGUAGGCGGGGUAACGGCCCACCUAGUCUUCGAUGGAUAGGGGUUCUGAGAGGAAGGUCCCCCACAUUGGAACUGAGACACGGUCCAAACUCCUACGGGAGGCAGCAGUGAGGAAUAUUGGUCAAUGGGCGAGAGCCUGAACCAGCCAAGUAGCGUGAAGGAUGACUGCCCUAUGGGUUGUAAACUUCUUUUAUAAAGGAAUAAAGUCGGGUAUGGAUACCCGUUUGCAUGUACUUUAUGAAUAAGGAUCGGCUAACUCCGUGCCAGCAGCCGCGGUAAUACGGAGGAUCCGAGCGUUAUCCGGAUUUAUUGGGUUUAAAGGGAGCGUAGAUGGAUGUUUAAGUCAGUUGUGAAAGUUUGCGGCUCAACCGUAAAAUUGCAGUUGAUACUGGAUAUCUUGAGUGCAGUUGAGGCAGGCGGAAUUCGUGGUGUAGCGGUGAAAUGCUUAGAUAUCACGAAGAACUCCGAUUGCGAAGGCAGCCUGCUAAGCUGCAACUGACAUUGAGGCUCGAAAGUGUGGGUAUCAAACAGGAUUAGAUACCCUGGUAGUCCACACGGUAAACGAUGAAUACUCGCUGUUUGCGAUAUACUGCAAGCGGCCAAGCGAAAGCGUUAAGUAUUCCACCUGGGGAGUACGCCGGCAACGGUGAAACUCAAAGGAAUUGACGGGGGCCCGCACAAGCGGAGGAACAUGUGGUUUAAUUCGAUGAUACGCGAGGAACCUUACCCGGGCUUAAAUUGCAGAUGAAUUACGGUGAAAGCCGUAAGCCGCAAGGCAUCUGUGAAGGUGCUGCAUGGUUGUCGUCAGCUCGUGCCGUGAGGUGUCGGCUUAAGUGCCAUAACGAGCGCAACCCUUGUUGUCAGUUACUAACAGGUUCCGCUGAGGACUCUGACAAGACUGCCAUCGUAAGAUGUGAGGAAGGUGGGGAUGACGUCAAAUCAGCACGGCCCUUACGUCCGGGGCUACACACGUGUUACAAUGGGGGGUACAGAGGGCCGCUACCACGCGAGUGGAUGCCAAUCCCAAAAACCUCUCUCAGUUCGGACUGGAGUCUGCAACCCGACUCCACGAAGCUGGAUUCGCUAGUAAUCGCGCAUCAGCCACGGCGCGGUGAAUACGUUCCCGGGCCUUGUACACACCGCCCGUCAAGCCAUGGGAGCCGGUGGUACCUGAAGUGCGUAACCACGAGGAGCGCCCUAGGGUAAAACUGGUGACUGGGGCUAAGU
rnacentral:rRNA from 1 species